GAUGAACGCUGGCGGCGCGCCUAACACAUGCAAGUCGAACGAUUAAAGCACCUUCGGGUGUGUAUAAAGUGGCGAACGGCUGAGUAACACGUGGGCAACCUGCCCCUCUCAUUGGGAUAGCCACGGGAAACCGUGGAUAAUACCGAAUACUUCGGGACUUCCGCAUGGAAGACUCGAGAAAGCUCCGGCGGAGAGGGAUGGGCCCGCGGCCUGUUAGCUUGUUGGUGGGGUAAUGGCUACCAAGGCAAUGAUGGGUAGCUGGGUUGAGAGACCGACCAGCCAGAUUGGGACUGAGACACGGCCCAGACUCCUACGGGAGGCAGCAGUGGGGAAUCUUGCACAAUGGGCGAAAGCCUGAUGCAGCGACGCCGCGUGCGGGAUGAAGGCCUUCGGGUUGUAAACCGCUUUCAGCAGGGACGAGGCGAAAGUGACGGUACCUGCAGAAGAAGCCCCGGCUAACUACGUG
rnacentral:rRNA from 1 species